UACAGAGGUCUCAAGCGUUGUUCGGAUUCAUUGGGCGUAAAGGGUGCGUAGGCGGCGCGGUAAGUCGGGGUGUGAAAUCUCGGAGCUUAACUCCGAAACUGCAUUCGAUACUGCCGUGCUUGAGGACUGGAGAGGAGACUGGAAUUUGACGGUGUAGCGGUGAAAUGCGUAGAUAUCAGGAAGAACACCCGUGGCGAAGGCGGCUCUCUGGGACGGUACUGGACGCUGAGACGCGAAAGCGUGGGGAGCGAACAGG
rnacentral:rRNA from 1 species